rnacentral:rRNA from 1 species
AGUGAACGCUGGCGGUAGGCCUAACACAUGCAAGUCGAACGGCAGCACAGUAAGAGCUUGCUCUUACGGGUGGCGAGUGGCGGACGGGUGAGGAAUACAUCGGAAUCUACUUUUUCGCGGGGGAUAACGUAGGGAAACUUACGCUAAUACCGCAUACGACCUACGGGUGAAAGCAGGGGAUCUUCGGACCUUGCGCGAUUGAAUGAGCCGAUGUCGGAUUAGCUAGUUGGCGGGGUAAAGGCCCACCAAGGCGACGAUCCGUAGCUGGUCUGAGAGGAUGAGCAGCCACACUGGAACUGAGACACGGUCCAGACUCCUACGGGAGGCAGCAGUGGGGAAUAUUGGACAAUGGGCGCAAGCCUGAUCCAGCCAUACCGCGUGGGUGAAGAAGGCCUUCGGGUUGUAAAGCCCUUUUGUUGGGAAAGAAAAGCAGCAGGUUAAUACCCCGCUGUUCUGACGGUACCCAAAGAAUAAGCACCGGCUAACUUCGUG